UACGAAGGGGGCUAGCGUUGCUCGGAAUCACUGGGCGUAAAGCGCACGUAGGCGGCUUCUUAAGUCAGGGGUGAAAUCCUGGAGCUCAACUCCAGAACUGCCUUUGAUACUGAGAAGCUUGAGUUCGGGAGAGGUGAGUGGAACUGCGAGUGUAGAGGUGAAAUUCGUAGAUAUUCGGAAGAACACCAGUGGCGAAGGCGACUCACUGGACACGUAUUGACGCUGAGGUGCGAAAGCGUGGGGAGCAAACAGG
rnacentral:rRNA from 1 species